rnacentral:lncRNA from 1 species
CAGCACGCUAAAUAUCAUAUUGAUGACCUCGAUAAUUGGUCGAUUACGGUUCUCAGGAUUCUCUUCUAUUUGAGGCUGAUUUUCAAUGGCUUUGAUUGGCCUUAUAAAUUUGCCGAGGUAGCCUCGACGCACUAGGGCCUCCAUCUCAUCCUGAAGUUGCAUGCAUUAUUUGGUAUUAUGGCCGUGAUCUUGAUGGAAGCGAUAGUAUUUUCUUUUAUCUCUCUUUGGUGGUGGGGGCUUUCAUUGGUUCUGACUUUCGGAGAUAUCCCUCUCCUUCAAUUUUUAUAAGGAUUUGUGCUCGGAGAGUAGACAGAGGAGUGUAGGAAUCAAAAUACUGAGGUGAGCUUCUUGAUCUCGAAUUUUCUAAGAUCGAUCAGAGCCUUUAUUUUGCUGAGCUCCAUCAUCCUCUCUCGAUCGCUUCUUAUUUUUAUUAGCCUACCUGAUGAUGGCUUCUUCUUUCUCGGUCUAAGUAUACUUUCAUACUCGAUCGAGUAUUUCAUCAUAGGUAUCUAAAAAAUUUUUAUUCAAAAAGAAAAUCAGACGAUUGCUCCGAAGUCUCCUCUUUAAGGCAGACAUAGCGACCGCCUCAUUGAAGUUUUUCACUUUCAAAGUGGCUGCAUUGAAGCAAACAUAUUUUUGGAGGUCUUCUCCCUCCUCUUACUUAAUAGAGAACAGACUAUUUGUAUGCCUCA